rnacentral:misc_RNA from 1 species
GAUGAAGAACGUAGCGAAAUGCGAUAAGUAAUGUGAAUUGCAGAAUUCAGUGAAUCAUCGAAUCUUUGAACGCACCUUGCGCCCUUUGGCCAUUCCGAAGGGCAUGCCUGUUUGAGUAUCAUGAACACCUCAACUCUCAUGGCUUGCCAUGAUGAGCUUGGACUUUGGGGGUCUUGCUGGCCUGUGGUCGGCUCCUCUCAAAUGAAUCAGCUUGCCAGUGUUUGGUGGCAUCACAAGUGUGAUAACUAUCUGCGCUCGUGGUUUCCAUCAGAUAACCUCCAGUGAUGGAGGCUCGCUGGAGCUCAUAAAUGUCUCUCCUAAUCGAGGACAGCUCUUUUAAUGUUUGAUCUCAAAUCAGGUAGGACUACCCGCUGAACUUAAGCAUAUCAAUAAGCGGAGGA